CUACGGGAUGCACCAGUGAGGAAUUUUGCGCAAUGGGGGAAACCCUGACGCAGCAACGCCGCGUGAGCGAAGAAGGCCUUCGGGUCGUAAAGCUCUGUCAAGUGGGAAAAAAAUUCUUUGAUGAACAGUCAAAGGACUUGAUGGUACCACUGGAGGAAGCACCGGCUAACUCCGUGCCAGCAGCCGCGGUAAUACGGAGGGGUGCAAGCGUUGUUCGGAAUUACUGGGCGUAAAGAGCGUGUAGGCGGUUUGACAAGUCAGAUGUGAAAGCCCCGGGCUCAACCCGGGAAGUGCAUUUGAAACUGUUUCACUAGAGUAUGGGAGAGGAGAUUGGAAUUCCUGGUGUAGAGGUGAAAUUCGUAGAUAUCAGGAGGAACACCCGUGGCGAAGGCGAUUCUCUGGACCAAUACUGACGCUGAGACGCGAAAGCGUGGGGAGCAAACAGGAUUAGAUACCCGAGUAGUC
rnacentral:rRNA from 1 species